rnacentral:rRNA from 1 species
UACAGAGGUCUCAAGCGUUGUUCGGAUUCAUUGGGCGUAAAGGGUGCGUAGGUGGUGGGGUAAGUCGGAUGUGAAAUCCCGGGGCUCAACCCGGAAAUGGCAUUGGAAACUACCUUGCUGGAGGAUUUGAGGGGGGAUUGGAAUACUUGGUGUAGCAGUGAAAUGCGUAGAUAUCAAGUGGAACACCAGUGGCGAAGGCGAAUCCCUGGAAAAUACCUGACACUGAGGCACGAAAGCUAGGGGAGCAAACAGG